UGCACAGGGAGUUCCAAGGUCUGUCGGCU
rnacentral:piRNA from 1 species